UACGAAGGGGGCUAGCGUUGCUCGGAAUCACUGGGCGUAAAGGGCGCGUAGGCGGCCAUUCAAGUCGGAGGUGAAAGCCCAGGGCUCAACCCUGGAAUUGCCUUCGAUACUGUUUGGCUAGAGACCGGAAGAGGUAAGUGGAACUGCGAGUGUAGAGGUGAAAUUCGUAGAUAUUCGCAAGAACACCAGUGGCGAAGGCGGCUUACUGGUCCGGUUCUGACGCUGAGGUGCGAAAGCGUGGGGAGCAAAGCAGG
rnacentral:rRNA from 1 species